GUGCUCGCUUCGGCAGCACAUAUAGUUGGAAUGAUAGAGAAGAUUUGCAUGGCCCCUGCGCAAGAUGACAUACAAAUUCGUGAAGUGUUCCAUAUUUAA
ensembl:snRNA U6 U6 spliceosomal RNA